UACGUAGGGACCGAGCGUUGUCCGGAAUCAUUGGGCGUAAAGAGCGCGCAGGCGGUCGUUCAAGUCGAGUGUGAAAGCCCCCGGCUCAACUGGGGAGGGUCACUCGAUACUGAUCGACUUGAAGGCAGGAGAGGGAAGCGGAAUUCCCGGUGUAGUGGUGAAAUGCGUAGAUAUCGGGAGGAACACCAGUGGCGAAGGCGGCUUCCUGGCCUGUUCUUGACGCUGAGGCGCGAAAGCUAGGGGAGCAAACGGG
rnacentral:rRNA from 1 species